AAAAGGACUCAGGAUGCCAACACUGACCCACUCAGAGGGAGAAAGGAGACAUUCAGAAUUGGUCAUGGCUUUCCGGGAAGAUCAUCUGGAGACACCCCCUGGACCAAUGGCAUUUUCUCUCCCAAGUCUUAUGCCUCCCGAUGGCCUCAAGAGAUGAAGCUGAAUAGAGACAUUUCCCAAACCCAAGUCUGACCAGGAAGGCAAUGAGCCAGAACAGAAAAUAUCGAUGAGAAC
rnacentral:lncRNA from 1 species